rnacentral:rRNA from 1 species
AGAGUUUGAUCAUGGCUCAGAUUGAACGCUGGCGGCAUGCUUUACACAUGCAAGUCGAACGGCAGCACGGGCUUCGGCCUGGUGGCGAGUGGCGAACGGGUGAGUAAUGCAUCGGAACGUGCCCAUGUCGUGGGGGAUAACGUAGCGAAAGCUACGCUAAUACCGCAUACGCCCUGAGGGGGAAAGCGGGGGAUUCUUCGGAACCUCGCGCGAUUGGAGCGGCCGAUGUCGGAUUAGCUAGUAGGUGAGGUAAAGGCUCACCUAGGCGACGAUCCGUAGCGGGUCUGAGAGGAUGAUCCGCCACACUGGGACUGAGACACGGCCCAGACUCCUACGGGAGGCAGCAGUGGGGAAUUUUGGACAAUGGGGGCAACCCUGAUCCAGCCAUGCCGCGUGAGUGAAGAAGGCCUUCGGGUUGUAAAGCUCUUUCGGCCGGGAAGAAAUCGGCGACUCUAACAUAGUCGCUGGAUGACGGUACCGGACUAAGAAGCACCGGCUAACUACGUGCCAGCCGCCGCGGUAAUAC